CGCCAGCGCGCCCCCGCCUCCGCGCGCCCCGCCCCGGGUGGGGGGCGGCCGGGGGCGCGGGGGCAGCACCCAGGUGGGACCUGAGAGGGCAGCGGCCCUGGAGCGGCGCUGGGGAGGGGUCGCAGAGGCUAAAGGAACAGCUCUAGAGGCACGGGCUCUGGGCUACUUGGGAUACCGGAAAGAAAGAAAGAUGAAAGAAAGAAAAGAAAGACAGAAAGAAAGAAACCCCAAACCCCAAAACAAAAGCAGAAAAGAGAAGGCCAAUUUCCUGAAGUGCAGAGGUUUACAGCUUGAUGAGAAAACAUAAACGCAAAGAAAAACGGGAUGGCAAACACCACGUGUUAACAAGGAUACGGGCAAGCUGCUCCAGGGGUCCAGGGAGACCUGAUGAGGGGCUGGGGAAGUUAGGGAAAAGUGUAAUAGAGGGGGGACUCUAGCUAGGCCCUGAGGGAAAGGCUGGAUUUAAACAAGGGUAGGGUAGAGGAGAGGGCAUUUCACGUAGGAAGUUGAGGGUGUACAGGAUGUGUUUGAGGCAGCAGAUACGUUUCUCUGGAGCACAAGGUUCCUAUAGGAAAGUGUUGGGAAGUGAGGGAAAUAGUACAGGACAGUGAAUGCUAGGAU